rnacentral:rRNA from 1 species
GAUGAACGCUGGCGGCGUGCCUAAUACAUGCAAGUCGAGCGAACAGAUAAGGAGCUUGCUCCUUUGACGUUAGCGGCAGACGGGUGAGUAACACGUGGGUAACCUACCUAUAAGACUGGGAUAACUUCGGGAAACCGGAGCUAAUACCGGAUAAUAUUUCGAACCGCAUGGUUCGAUAGUGAAAGAUGGUUUUGCUAUCACUUAUAGAUGGACCCGCGCCGUAUUAGCUAGUUGGUAAGGUAACGGCUUACCAAGGCGACGAUACGUAGCCGACCUGAGAGGGUGAUCGGCCACACUGGAACUGAGACACGGUCCAGACUCCUACGGGAGGCAGCAGUAGGGAAUCUUCCGCAAUGGGCGAAAGCCUGACGGAGCAACGCCGCGUGAGUGAUGAAGGUCUUCGGAUCGUAAAACUCUGUUAUUAGGGAAGAACAUACGUGUAAGUAACUGUGCACGUCUUGACGGUACCUAAUCAGAAAGCCACGGCUAACUACGUG